UACGGGGGGGCAAGCGUUGUUCGGAAUUACUGGGCGUAAAGGGCGCGUAGGCGGCCUGCUAAGUCACACGUGAAAUCCCUCGGCUCAACCGGGGAACUGCGUGUGAUACUGGCGGGCUUGAAUUCGGGAGAGGGAUGUGGAAUUCCAGGUGUAGCGGUGAAAUGCGUAGAUAUCUGGAGGAACACCGGUGGCGAAGGCGGCAUCCUGGACCGAGAUUGACGCUGAGGCGCGAAAGCUAGGGGAGCAAACGGG
rnacentral:rRNA from 1 species